GACGAACGCUGGCGGCGUGCUUAACACAUGCAAGUCGAACGGAAAGGCCCUGCUUUUGUGGGGUGCUCGAGUGGCGAACGGGUGAGUAACACGUGAGUAACCUGCCCUUGACUUUGGGAUAACUUCAGGAAACUGGGGCUAAUACCGGAUAGGAGCUCCUGCUGCAUGGUGGGGGUUGGAAAGUUUCGGCGGUUGGGGAUGGACUCGCGGCUUAUCAGCUUGUUGGUGGGGUAGUGGCUUACCAAGGCUUUGACGGGUAGCCGGCCUGAGAGGGUGACCGGACGGAGUGGGUCGGGGGGAGGCCGCGGGAGGCGAGGGGGGGGGGGGGUGUGGAAGAGGGGGGACUGGGCGGAGGCGGGGGGCGGCAGGGCGGGGGGGGGGAGGACGGGGGGCGGGUUGUAAACGGCGUCGGCGUGGGAGGAGGAGUGGGGGGGGGAAAUGGGAAAAGAAGCACCGGAGAAAGACGGGCCAGCAGCCGUGGUAAGAAUCGGAAGACCACUCUUCUGAAC
rnacentral:rRNA from 1 species